rnacentral:sRNA from 1 species
UUCACAAAUUUUCAUAGGGGGGGGUAUAUCACUUUUUGGA